rnacentral:rRNA from 1 species
AGAGUUUGAUCCUGGCUCAGAGCGAACGCUGGCGCAUGCCUAACACAUGCAAGUCGCACGGUCGGGGCAACCCGGCAGUGGCGGACGGGUGAGUAACGCGUAGGGAUCUGUCCACGGGUGGGGGAUAACCAAGGGAAACUUUGGCUAAUACCGCAUGACACCUGAGGGUCAAAGGCGCAAGUCGCCUGUGGAGGAACCUGCGUCCGAUUAGCUGGUUGGUGGGGUAAAGGCCUACCAAGGCGACGAUCGGUAGCUGGUCUGAGAGGAUGAUCAGCCACACUGGGACUGAGACACGGCCCAGACUCCUACGGGAGGCAGCAGUGGGGAAUAUUGGACAAUGGGCGCAAGCCUGAUCCAGCAAUGCCGCGUGGGUGAAGAAGGUCUUCGGAUUGUAAAGCCCUUUCGGCGGGGACGAUGAUGACGGUACCCGCAGAAGAAGCCCCGGCUAACUUCGUGCCAGCAGCCGCGGUAAUACGAAGGGGGCUAGCGUUGCUCGGAAUGACUGGGCGUAAAGGGCGCGUAGGCGGUCUGGACAGUCGGAUGUGAAAUUCCUGGGCUCAACCUGGGGGCUGCAUCCGAUACGGCCAGACUUGAGUGGGGAAGAGGGUCGUGGAAUUCCCAGUGUAGAGGUGAAAUUCGUAGAUAUUGGGAAGAACACCGGUGGCGAAGGCGGCGACCUGGUCCUUGACUGACGCUGAGGCGCGACAGCGUGGGGAGCAAACAGGAUUAGAUACCCCCGUAGUCC